ACAGGGUCAGACAUAGUAGUAUGAUAGGUGUUGUUUUACAGGGUCAGUCAUAGUAGUAUGAUAGGUGUUGUUUUACAGGGUCAGUCAUAGUAGUAUUAUGAUAGGUGUUGUUUUACAGGGUCAGUCAUAGUAGUACGAUAGGUGUUGUUGUACAGGGUCAGACAUAGUAGUAUGAUAGGUGUUGUUUUACAGGGUCAGUCAUAGUAGUAUGAUAGGUGUUGUUUUACAGGGUCAGUCAUAGUAGUAUGAUAGGUGUUGUUUUACAGGGUCAGUCACAGUAGUAUGAUAGGUGUUGUUUUACAGGGUCAGUCAUAGUAGUAUGAUAGGUGUUGUUUUACAGGGUCAGUCAUAGUAGUAUGAUAGGUGUUGUUUUACAGGGUCAGUCACAGUAGUAUGAUAGGUGUUGUUUUACAGGGUCAGUCAUAGUAGUAUGAUAGGUGUUGUUUUACAGGGUCAGUCAUAGUAGUAUGAUAGGUGUUGUUUUACAGGGUCAGUCAUAGUAGUAUGAUAGGUGUUGUUUUACAGGGUCAGUCAUAGUAGUAUGAUAUGUGUUGUUUUACAGGGUCAGUCAUAGUAGUAUGAUAGGUGUUGUUUUACAGGGUCAGUCAUAGUAGUGUGAUAGGUGUUGUUUUACAGGGUCAGUCAUAGUAGUGUGAUAGGUGUUGUUUUACAGGGUCAGUCAUAGUAGUGUGAUAGGUGUUGUUUUACAGGGUCAGUCAUAGUAGUAUGAUAGGUGUUGUUUUACAGGGUCAGUCAUAGUAGUAUGAUAGGUGUUGUUUUACAGGGUCAGUCAUAGUAGUAUGAUAGGUGUUGUUUUACAGGGUCAGUCAUAGUAGUAUGAUAGGUGUUGUUUUACAGGGUCAGUCAUAGUAGUAUGAUAGGUGUUGUUUUACAGGGUCAGUCAUAGUAGUAUGAUAUGUGUUGUUUUACAGGGUCAGUCAUAGUAGUAUGAUAGGUGUUGUUUUACAGGGUCAGUCAUAGUAGUGUGAUAGGUGUUGUUUUACAGGGUCAGUCAUAGUAGUAUGAUAGGUGUUGUUUUACAGGGUCAGUCAUAGUAGUAUGAUAGGUGUUGUUUUACAGGGUCAGUCAUAGUAGUAUGAUAUGUGUUGUUUUACAGGGUCAGUCAUAGUAGUAUGAUAGGUGUUGUUUUACAGGGUCAGUCAUAGUAGUGUGAUAGGUGUUGUUUUACAGGGUCAGUCAUAGUAGUGUGAUAGGUGUUGUUUUACAGGGUCAGUCAUAGUAGUAUGAUAGGUGUUGUUUUACAGGGUCAGUCAUAGUAGUGUGAUAGGUGUUGUUUUACAGGGUCAGUCAUAGUAGUAUGAUAGGUGUUGUUUUACAGGGUCAGUCAUAGUAGUAUGAUAGGUGUUGUUGUACAGGGUCAUAGUAGUAUGAUAGGGGUUGUUUUACAGGGUCAGUCAUAGUAGUAUGAUAGGUGUUGUUUUACAGGGUCAGUCAUAGUAGUAUGAUAGGUGUUGUUUUACAGGGUCAGUCAUAGUAGUAUGAUAGGGGUUGUUUUACAGGGUCAGUCAUAGUAGUAUGAUAGGUGUUGUUUUACAGGGUCAGUCAUAGUAGUAUGAUAGGUGUUGUUGUACAGGGUCAGUCAUAGUAGUAUGAUAGGUGUUGUUUUACAGGGUCAGUCAUAGUAGUAUGAUAGGUGUUGU